rnacentral:rRNA from 1 species
AUUGAACGCUGGCGGCAUGCCUUACACAUGCAAGUCGAACGGCAGCACGGGAGCAAUCCUGGUGGCGAGUGGCGAACGGGUGAGUAAUAUAUCGGAACGUGCCCGGUCGUGGGGAUAACGCAGCGAAAGCUACGCUAAUACCGCAUACGAUCUACGGAUGAAAGCGGGGGAUCGCAAGACCUCGCGCGAUUGGAGCGGCCGAUAUCAGAUUAGGUAGUUGGUGAGGUAAAGGCUCACCAAGCCGACGAUCUGUAGCUGGUCUGAGAGGACGACCAGCCACACUGGGACUGAGACACGGCCCAGACUCCUACGGGAGGCAGCAGUGGGGAAUUUUGGACAAUGGACGCAAGUCUGAUCCAGCCAUUCCGCGUGCAGGAUGAAGGCCCUCGGGUUGUAAACUGCUUUUGUACGGAACGAAAGGUUUACUAUUAAUACUAGGAGCUCAUGACGGUACCGUAAGAAUAAGCACCGGCUAACUACGUG